UGGGGAAUAUUGGACAAUGGGCGAAAGCCUGAUCCAGCAAUGCCGCGUGAGUGAUGAAGGCCUUAGGGUUGUAAAGCUCUUUUACCCGGGAUGAUAAUGACAGUACCGGGAGAAUAAGCUUCCGGCUAAGCUCCGUGCCAGCAGCCGCGGUAAUACGGGAGGGAGCUAGCGUUGUUCGGAAAUUACUGGGCGUAAAGCGCACGUAGGCGGCUUUGUAAGUUAGAGGUGAAAGCCUGGAGCUCAACUCCAGAACUGCCUUUAAGACUGCAUCGCUUGAAUCCAGGAGAGGUGAGUGGAAUUCCGAGUGUAGAGGUGAAAUUCGUAGAUAUUCGGAAGAACACCAGUGGCGAAGGCGGCUCACUGGACUUGGUAUUGACGCUGAGGUGCGAAAGCGUGGGGAGCAAAACA
rnacentral:rRNA from 1 species